CGGGACGGGUGAGUAACACGUGGAUAAUCUGCCCUGCACAGGGGGACAACAGCUAGAAAUGGCUGCUAAUACCGCAUAAGCCUACAGCCUCGCAUGAGGGAGUAGGAAAAGAAAUUCGGUGCAGGAUGAGUCCGCGUCUGAUUAGCUAGUUGGAGGGGUAAAAGCCCACCAAGGCAACGAUCAGUAGCCGGCCUGAGAGGGUGGACGGCCACAUUGGGACUGAGACACGGCCCAAACUCCUACGGAAGGCAGCAG
rnacentral:rRNA from 1 species